GGAGAAAGGCUCACUGAUGGAAAGUUCUUUGGUCAUGGCAUCAGAUCAAGAACAGAUAGAGAAAUACUUCAUCCUGGCCACCGUAAGGACAAAUGAGCUUUUUGUGCCACAUAAACAAUUUGGCCUACUGUGUGGAAAAUGGAUUGAAUGGACCUGGUGAAAUGAUACAGGAGCCCAUUUCACUGACCAGGCAUGUUUGUGAAAAGAAGAUAUGUUUUUGUGUAAGAUACAGACCAGAUGUUUUUCCAUUAAAUAUAAUAAAUACCAGUCUGAAUAUUG